rnacentral:rRNA from 1 species
CGAACGCUGGCGGCGUGGAUAAGACAUGCAAGUCGAACGGGAUAACAUUUGUAGCAAUACAGGUGUUGUCUAGUGGCGAACGGGUGCGUAACACGUGGGCAAUCUGCCGAGAAGUGGGGGAUAGCUCGCCGAAAGGCGAAUUAAUACCGCAUGUGAUCAGGGGAGACAUCUUCCCGAAAUCAAAGCCGGGGCAACCUGGCGCUUUUUGAGGAGCCCGCGGCCUAUCAGCUUGUUGGUGAGGUAACGGCUCACCAAGGCUUUGACGGGUAGCUGGUCUGAGAGGACGACCAGUCACACUGGGACUGAGACACGGCCCAGACACCUACGGGUGGCAGCAGUCGAGAAUUUUUCUCAAUGGGGGAAACCCUGAAGGAGCGACGCCGCGUGGAGGAUGAAGGUCUUCGGGUUGUAAACUCCUGUCAUUUGGGAACAAGUCGUACGUAUUAACUGUACGUGCGUUGAUAGUACCAGAAGAGGAAGGGACGGCUAACUCUGUGCCAGCAGCCGCGGUAAUACAGAGGUCCCAAGCGUUGUUCGGAUUCAUUGGGCGUAAAGGGUGCGUAGGUGGCGUCGUAAGUCAGGUGUGAAAUCUCGGAGCUUAACUCCGAAACUGCAUUUGAUACUGCGGUGCUUGAGGACUGGAGAGGAGACUGGAAUUUACGGUGUAGCAGUGAAAUGCGUAGAGAUCGUAAGGAAGACCAGUGGCGAAGGCGGGUCUCUGGACAGUUCCUGACACUGAGGCACGAAGGCCAG